rnacentral:rRNA from 1 species
GAUGAACGCUAGCUACAGGCUUAACACAUGCAAGUCGAGGGGAAACGACAUCGAAAGCUUGCUUUUGAUGGGCGUCGACCGGCGCACGGGUGAGUAACGCGUAUCCAACCUGCCCAUCACUUGGGGAUAACCUUGCGAAAGUAAGACUAAUACCCAAUGAUAUCUCUAGAAGACAUCUGAAAGUGAUUAAAGAUUUAUCGGUGAUGGAUGGGGAUGCGUCUGAUUAGCUUGUUGGCGGGGUAACGGCCCACCAAGGCAACGAUCAGUAGGGGUUCUGAGAGGAAGGUCCCCCACAUUGGAACUGAGACACAGACCAAACUGCUACGGGAGGCAGCAGUGAGGAAUAUUAGGCAAUGGGCGAGAACCUGAACCAGCCAAGUAGCGUGCAAGAAGACGGCCCUAUGGGUUGUAAACUGCUUUUAUAAGGGAAUAAAGUGAGAGUCGUGACUCUUUUUGUAUGUACCUUAUGAAUAAGGACCGGCUAAUUCCGUG